AGCAACACAUUUGAUCAAUUCAAGCAGCUAACCAAAACCGUGCUGCCUAAUGAAAUGAAUUGCUCCCUUGUACAACAUGAGAUGAUUCCUCCUCAGUUCCCGCCGGAACUUUCUUCUAACCGAAAUUUCUUUUUCUGCUGCUAAGUGCUGACCACAAACUACUGAAAUGGAGAAACCCUGGAUGAUAUUUCCACCGCAGCACUUACAGGUGAUUUUUUGCAGUGUAUGGCACAACAGCAGGGAGAACAACAAAAACAACUUGCCCAAGUGAUCGAAGUGUUUUCUAGAGUAUCAACCUCCUGUAAUGCCUUGAUGUGGAACUACAUCGGAUGUACCCGCUGUGGAUGACUGGAUGAGGCGUAGUGAGGAGGUAUGGGAGCAGACGCAUCAACGCAUAGAAACCGUAUUGCAACGGCAAAAGAAUCAAGCAGAUCGCCAUCGAGGAAAUACUCCCACCUAUCAACCAGGAGACCGGGUGUGGCUGUCAACACGAGACUUCAGGAUCUCAGAGGGGAGUAAAAAAUUAUCACCCAAAUACAUUGGUCCAUAUAAAAUUUUAAAACGUAUUAAUGAUGUCACAUAUAAAUGGGAUUUACCUGGGCAUUCUCGUAUGUCAAAUUCUUUUCAUGUAUCUCUCCUGAAACCGGUUGUCACAGGUCCACUGAACGAGACCAUGUCUGGUGAGACUCCUCCACCUCCGGUGAUUGUUGAUGGGACACCUGUUUAUGCUGUCCAUCGGUUGCUGGAUUCGAGACGACGUGGGGCCAGUCUGCAAUACCUGGGUAACGCGAGUGACGUCUUAUAACCAAAUGACGUCACGAUGCGGACCGGUUGGUAUUGUGACGUCACUGGAGAGAGAGUAUAAAUACAGGCGCUUCACUUCAGCAGGUCA